GCGGGUGUAGCUCAGUGGUAGAGCACUGGCUUCCCAAGCCAGCUGCGAGGGUUCGAUUCCCUUCACCCGCUCCA
rnacentral:tRNA from 4 species